rnacentral:rRNA from 11 species
CCUCGGAUCAGGUAGGGAUACCCGCUGAACUUA